AAUAACUAAAGAACCCUUAGGCCUAGGAACUUCAAACUUGGUAUGGUGAUUGGUCAUGACCAGCAGAUGACCUAUUGAUUUUGGGGUCAAGGGGUCAAAGGUCAAGGUCACAUUGACCUUGUAGGUAAAAACGGUUUCCGAUCAAUUAACUAAAAACGCUUAGGCCUAGGAACUUCAAACUUUGUAUGGUGAUUGGUCGUGACCAGCAGAUGACCCCUAUUGAGUUUUGGGUCAAGGGGUCAAAGGUUAAGGUCAUGACCAGUAGAUACUUGAUAACCCUUAUUAAUUGUUUGAUCACUGGGUCAGAAGUCAUGCAUAAUAACCUUAUCACAUGACUAAUUGGCUGCUGAUAGGGGGCAUACAUGUUUUACAAACAUAUCUUGUUUAAAAAGAUUAAGUUUGUAAAUGAAAUGAUCAUGAAAAAUGGUAUUGUUCUGGUGUACUGUUAUUUAAAAGUGUAUGUCUACUGAGAAAGUAUACUUAUUAUGUAAUAUAUUAUUGACUUAUUGAGUCCAAUCUUGUUAUAGUUGUUGUUGAUAAAUGAAAAAGGUUAAAUAAAAAAUAUAAAUACUA